GAUGAACGCUGGCGGCGUGCCUAAUACAUGCAAGUCGAGCGAACAGACGAGGAGCUUGCUCCUUUGACGUUAGCGGCGGACGGGUGAGUAACACGUGGGUAACCUACCUAUAAGACUGGGAUAACUUCGGGAAACCGGAGCUAAUACCGGAUAAUAUUUCGAACCGCAUUGUUCGAUAGUGAAAGAUGGCUUUGCUAUCACUUAUAGAUGGACCUGCGCCGUAUUAGCUAGUUGGUAAGGUAACGGCUUACCAAGGCAACGAUACGUAGCCGACCUGAGAGGGUGAUCGGCCACACUGGAACUGAGACACGGUCCAGACUCCUACGGGAGGCAGCAGUAGGGAAUCUUCCGCAAAGGGCGAAAGCCUGACGGAGCAACGCCGCGUGAGUGAUGAAGGUCUUCGGAUCGUAAAACUCUGUUAUUAGGGAAGAACAAACGUGUAAGUAACUGUGCACGUCUUGACGGUACCUAAUCAGAAAGCCACGGCUAACUACGUG
rnacentral:rRNA from 1 species